rnacentral:rRNA from 2 species
UCUGAUGGAGCACGCCGCGUGAGUGAAGAAGGGUUUCGGCUCGUAAAACUCUGUUGUUAGAGAAGAACAGCCGUGAGAGCAACUGCUCACGGUAUGACGGUAUCUAACCAGAAAGUCACGGCUAACUACGUGCCAGCAGCCGCGGUAAUACGUAGGUGGCAAACGUUGUCCGGAUUUAUUGGGCGUAAAGGGAGCGCAGGCGGUUUAUUAAGUCUGAUGUGAAAGCCUUCGGCUUAACCGGAGAAGUGCAUCGGAAACUGAUAAACUUGAGUGCAGAAAAGGAUAGUGGAACUUCAUGUGUAGCGGUGAAAUGCGUAGAUAUAUGAAGGAACACCAGUGGCGAAGGCGGCUAUCUGGUCUGUAACUGACGCUGAGGCUCGAAAGCAUGGGUAGCAAACAGGAUUAGAUACCCUGGUAGUCCAUGCCGUAAACGAUGAAUGCUAGGUGUUGGAAGGUUUCCGCCUUUCAGUGCCGCAGCUAACGCAUUAAGCAUUCCGCCUGGGGAGUACGACCGCAAGGUUGAAACUCAAAGGAAUUGACGGGGACCCGCACAAGCGGUGGAGCAUGUGGUUUAAUUCGAUGCUACGCGAAGAACCUUACCAGGACUUGACAUCUUCUGCCAAUCUAAGAGAUUAGACGUUCCCUUCGGGGACAGAAUGACAGGUGGUGCAUGGUUGUCGUCAGCUCGUGUCGUGAGAUGUUGGGUUAAGUCCCGCAACGAGCGCAACCCUUGUCUUUAGUUGCCAGCAUUAAGUUGGGCACUCUAGAGAGACUGCCGGUGAUAAACCGGAGGAAGGUGGGGGAUGACGUCAAAUCAUCAUGCCCCUUAUGUCCUGGGCUACACACGUGCUACAAUGGGCGAUACAACGAGUUGCGAAACCGCGAGGUCAAGCUAAUCUCUUAAAGUCGUUCUCAGUUCGGAUUGCAGUCUGCAACUCGACUGCAUGAAGUUGGAAUCGC